rnacentral:rRNA from 1 species
UACGGGAGGCAGCAGUGGGGAAUAUUGCACAAUGGGCGAAAGCCUGAUGCAGCUAUGCCGCGUGUAUGAAGAAGGCCUUAGGGUUGUAAAGUACUUUCAUCGGGGAGGAAAAACAAAACUAAUAAUUUUAUUUCUUGACGUUACCCGAAAAAGAAGCACCGGCUAACUCCGUGCCAGCAGCCGCGGUAAUACGGAGGGUGCUAGCGUUAAUCAGAAUUACUGGGCGUAAAGAGCACGUAGGUGGUUUUUUUAAGUCAGAUGUGAAAUCCCUGGGCUUAACCUAGGAAACUGCAUUUUGAAAACUGAAAUACUAGAGUAUCGUAGAGGGAGGUAGAAUUCUAGGUGUAGCGGUGAAAUGCGUAGAUAUCUGGAGGAAAUACCUGUGGCGAAAGCGGCCUCCUAAAACGAAAUAACUGAACACUGAGGUGCGAAAAGCGUGGGGAGCAAAACAGGGAAUUAAGAUACC